rnacentral:rRNA from 1 species
ACGGGUGAGUAAUACAUCGGAACGUGCCCGAUCGUGGGGGAUAACGGAGCGAAAGCUUUGCUAAUACCGCAUACGAUCUACGGAUGAAAGCAGGGGACCGCAAGGCCUUGCGCGGACGGAGCGGCCGAUGGCAGAUUAGGUAGUUGGUGGGAUAAAAGCUUACCAAGCCGACGAUCUGUAGCUGGUCUGAGAGGACGACCAGCCACACUGGGACUGAGACACGGCCCAGACUCCUACGGGAGGCAGCAGUGGGGAAUUUUGGACAAUGGGCGAAAGCCUGAUCCAGCCAUGCCGCGUGCAGGAUGAAGGCCUUCGGGUUGUAAACUGCUUUUGUACGGAACGAAAAGACUCCUUCUAAUAAAGGGGGUCCAUGACGGUACCGUAAGAAUAAGCACCGGCUAACUACGUGCCAGCAGCCGCGGUAAUACGUAGGGUGCAAGCGUUAAUCGGAAUUACUGGGCGUAAAGCGUGCGCAGGCGGUUAUGUAAGACAGAUGUGAAAUCCCCGGGCUCAACCUGGGAACUGCAUUUGUGACUGCAUAGCUAGAGUACGGUAGAGGGGGAUGGAAUUCCGCGUGUAGCAGUGAAAUG